rnacentral:rRNA from 1 species
CCUACGGGAGGCAGCAGUGGGGAAUAUUGGACAAUGGGGGCAACCCUGAUCCAGCCAUGCCGCGUGUGUGAAGAAGGCCCUCGGGUUGUAAAGCACUUUCAGUGAGGAAGAACGCCUGGUGGUUAAUACCCAUCAGGAAAGACAUCACUCACAGAAGAAGCACCGGCUAACUCCGUGCCAGCAGCCGCGGUAAUACGGAGGGUGCGAGCGUUAAUCGGAAUUACUGGGCGUAAAGCGCGCGUAGGUGGCUUGAUAAGCCGGUUGUGAAAGCCCCGGGCUCAACCUGGGAACGGCAUCCGGAACUGUCAAGCUAGAGUGCAUGAGAGGAAGGUAGAAUUCCCGGUGUAGCGGUGAAAUGCGUAGAGAUCGGGAGGAAUACCAGUGGCGAAGGCGGCCUUCUGGACUGACACUGACACUGAUGUGCGAAAGCGUGGGUAGCAAACAGGAGUAGAUACCCUUGUAGUC